GUCAUCCAGAGUCCACUGGGUGUAAUGGAGGUCAUACUGAAUCCACUGGGUGUAAUGGAGGUUGUCCUGAGAACGCUGAGUCCACUGCAGGGCUCGAUAAUAACGAUGGCCUGAUGGCCUCGGGUGUUUCAUAAUCUAGUGCAGACACGAAUAACGGUACUUUCCCAUUAUAUCAAACUCAUUUAAAAAAAAUUCAUAAUUGCGCCAAAAUGUGAUUUUUCUUCUUCAUUCUUUGGGCCUGGGAAUUGAAAUGGGGAAAACUGUGCAAUAGGGAGCUCGGUAUAAGCAAGAACACCACCGUGGACUGGAACAACUAGGCUACCUAAGGCAAGUGUGCAUGGAGGCUGUUAUGGCGAGGAAUCAAGGACAAUUCAGAGGGGAGGGAAUGAUCGUUGAAACUGAUGAGUCGCUCUUCACCAAACCAGGAACAGUGCCGGCC
ensembl:lncRNA